rnacentral:lncRNA from 1 species
UUUGACGAAAAAAACGUAAUUUUCGAAUUUGGAACAUUUUUUUUUUUCUGUUUUGGUGAAGAACAUUUUUUUUUGGUUUUGAUGUGAAAAUAUAAUUUCACGGUUUUAGCUAGGGUUGGGGAUUUUAUCCGAUACCUAAACCCGAAUCCGAACCUGACCCGAAAUACCCAAACCGGAAUCCAAACCGAAGUAACAAAAUACCCGAACGGGUUUUGUAUUGAACAAGUUUCGAUACCCGAACUCGAUCAGGUAUAUCCGAAACCCAAAGUAAUGUACAAAGUAAUCCAAACAUAUGUACACUUUAAUCCAAAUCUAUAUUUGUCAUCCAAUAUGUAAUGAUUGGUUUCUCUUAACCGAUUUUGGUUUAAUUAAUAUUAUAUAAAAUCAAUACCAAAUCACUAUUUUUUCUAACCUAAAAGUGUGCACAUAUAUAUAUGUAUCUCCUUCUAACAUGUGAAAGAUUAAGGCACCAUCUGCAUCUCUCAUCUCUCAUCUUCUCUCCCUACAAGAUCUUCUUUCUUAAAUUAUUAUUCUUCUCAUGAUCCAUGAAAGGUUUCUCGGAGACAUUAGUUGUUGCCGUCAUCAACGAUAACCACCAUAAACGUCACUAACAACCAGAGCCACCUCGAACCAUCUUGUCGUUCUUUAUACGGAGGGGUAGUUUACAUCCAUGGAGCUUCCCUUGUUACUCUCAAUCGUGUUACGUAACGAAAGCAAAAGAAGGAACAUUUUUUUUUACAAGAAUUAUGUGGUUUUAAAUUUUUUUUAUCAGUAGUUCAAUUUUUUUUUUAUCAAUGCUUUGUUUUUUUCGUUAUACCCAAAAUACCCAAACCCGAACUAAAAAUAUCUGAACCCGAUCUGUAGUGUAGAAAUACUCGAACGAGUUUUAUACUUCUAUACUGAAAUACCCGAACGGGUAUCCGAAUGCCCGCCCCUAAUUUUAGCGGGAAAAAACUAGUUUUACGGUUUUGGCAAAAAAC